rnacentral:rRNA from 1 species
GGGAAUCUUGCACAAUGGGGGCAACCCUGAUGCAGCGACGCCGCGUGAGCGAUGAAGCCCUUCGGGGCGUAAAGCUCUUUCGACCGGAACGAUAAUGACGGUACCGGGAGAAGAAGCUGCGGCUAACUACGUGCCAGCAGCCGCGGUAAUACGUAGGCAGCAAGCGUUGUUCGGAGUUACUGGGCGUAAAGAGUGCGUAGGCGGUUUUCUAAGUUCGGUGUGACAUCUCCCGGCUUAACUGGGAGGGUGCGCCGAAGACUGGGAAGCUGGAGUGUGGGAAAGGCAGGCGGAAUUCCUGGUGUAGCGGUGAAAUGCGUAGAUAUCAGGAGGAACACCGGCGGUGUAGACGGCUUGCUAGACCAUAACUGACGCUGAGGCACGAAAGCGUGGGUAGCAAACA